rnacentral:rRNA from 1 species
UGGGGAAUUUUGGACAAUGGGCGCAAGCCUGAUCCAGCCAUGCCGCGUGCGGGAAGAAGGCCUUCGGGUUGUAAACCGCUUUUGUCAGGGAAGAAAUCUUCUGAGUUAAUACCUCGGGAGGAUGACGGUACCUGAAGAAUAAGCACCGGCUAACUACGUGCCAGCAGCCGCGGUAAUACGUAGGGUGCAAGCGUUAAUCGGAAUUACUGGGCGUAAAGCGUGCGCAGGCGGUUUUGUAAGACAGAGGUGAAAUCCCCGGGCUCAACCUGGGAACUGCCUUUGUGACUGCAAGGCUUGAGUGCGGCAGAGGGGGAUGGAAUUCCGCGUGUAGCAGUGAAAUGCGUAGAUAUGCGGAGGAACACCGAUGGCGAAGGCAAUCCCCUGGGCCUGCACUGACGCUCAUGCACGAAAGCGUGGGGAGCAAACAGGAUUAGAUACCCUGGUAGUCCACGCCCUAAACGAUGUCAACUGGUUGUUGGGAAGGUUCCUUCUCAGUAACGUAGCUAACGCGUGAAGUUGACCGCCUGGGGAGUACGGCCGCAAGGUUGAAACUUAAAUGAAUUGACGGGGUCAUAGCUGUUUUCCUG